GCUGGGUGUGGUGGCACACGUCUGUAAUCCCAGCAGCUUGGCUUGGGAGGCUGAGACAGGAGGAUCCUGAGUUUAAAGCCAGCCUCAGCAAAAGAGUGGUACUAAGCCACUCAGUGAGACCCUGUCUCUA
rnacentral:sRNA from 1 species